AGAGUUUGAUCCUGGCUCAGGAUGAACGCUGGCGGCGUGCUUAACACAUGCAAGUCGAACGAGCCUUCGGGCUAGUGGCGGACGGGUGAGUAACGCGUGAGAAUCUGCCCUCAGGAGGGGGAUAACGGCUGGAAACGGCCGCUAAUACCCCAUAUGCCGCGAGGUGAAAUGAGAAAUCGCCUGAGGAUGAGCUCGCGUCUGAUUAGCUAGUUGGUGGGGUAAGAGCCUACCAAGGCAUCGAUCAGUAGCUGGUCUGAGAGGAUGAUCAGCCACACUGGGACUGAGACACGGCCCAGACUCCUACGGGAGGCAGCAGUGGGGAAUUUUCCGCAAUGGGCGCAAGCCUGACGGAGCAACGCCGCGUGAGGGAUGAAGGCCUCUGGGCUGUAAACCUCUUUUCUCAAGGAAGAAGAACUGACGGUACUUGAGGAAUAAGCCACGGCUAAUUCCGUGCCAGCAGCCGCGGUAAUACGGGAGUGGCAAGCGUUAUCCGGAAUUAUUGGGCGUAAAGCGUCCGCAGGCGGUCUUGAAAGUCUGUUGUUAAAGCGUGGAGCUCAACUCCAUUUCAGCAAUGGAAACUAGAAGACUAGAGUGUGGUAGGGGCAGAGGGAAUUCCCGGUGUAGCGGUGAAAUGCGUAGAUAUCGGGAAGAACACCAGUGGCGAAGGCGCUCUGCUGGGCCAUAACUGACGCUCAUGGACGAAAGCCAGGGGAGCGAAAGGGAUUAGAUACCCCUGUAGUCCUGGCCGCAAACGAUGAACACUAGGUGUCGGGGGAAUCGACCCCCUCGGUGUCGUAGCCAGCGCGUUAAGUGUUCCGCCUGGGGAGUACGCACGCAAGUGUGAAACUCAAAGGAAUUGACGGGGGCCCGCACAAGCGGUGGAGUAUGUGGUUUAAUUCGAUGCAACGCGAAGAACCUUACCAGGGUUUGACAUCCUGCGAAUCUUUUGGAAACAGAAGAGUGCCUUCGGGAGCGCAGAGACAGGUGGUGCAUGGCUGUCGUCAGCUCGUGUCGUGAGAUGUUGGGUUAAGUCCCGCAACGAGCGCAACCCACGUCUUUAGUUGCCAGCAUUGAGUUGGGCACUCUAGAGAGACCGCCGGUGAUAAACCGGAGGAAGGUGUGGAUGACGUCAAGUCAUCAUGCCCCUUACAUCCUGGGCUACACACGUACUACAAUGCUACGGACAGAGGGCAGCAAACUCGCGAGAGCUAGCAAAUCCCAUAAACCGUGGCUCAGUUCAGAUCGUAGGCUGCAACUCGCCUACGUGAAGGAGGAAUCGCUAGUAAUCGCAGGUCAGCAUACUGCGGUGAAUACGUUCCCGGGCCUUGUACACACCGCCCGUCACACCAUGGAAGUUGGCCAUGCCCGAAGUCGUUACUCCAACCCUUGUGGAGGAGGACGCCGAAGGUGGGGCUGAUGACUGGGGUGAAGUCAACAAGGUA
rnacentral:rRNA from 1 species